rnacentral:rRNA from 1 species
CCUACGGGUGGCAGCAGUGGGGAAUAUUGGACAAUGGGGGGAACCCUGAUCCAGCGACGCCGCGUGAGUGAAGAAGUAUUUCGGUAUGUAAAGCUCUAUCAGCAGGGAAGAAAAUGACGGUACCUGACUAAGAAGCCCCGGCUAACUACGUGCCAGCAGCCGCGGUAAUACGUAGGGGGCAAGCGUGAUCCGGAUUUACUGGGGGUAAAGGGAGCGUAGAAGGGGCAGCAAGUCUGAUGUGAAAGGUCGGGGCCUAACCCCGGGAUUGCAGUGGAAACUGUGGAACUGGAGUGCAGGAGAGGUAAGCGGAAUUCAUAGUGUAGCGGUGAAAUGCGUAGAUAUUAGGAGGAACACCAGUGGCGAAGGCGGGUGACUGGACUGUAACUGACGUUGAGGCUCGAAAGUGUGGGGAGCAAACAGGAGUAGAUACCCCUGUAGUC